UUUUUGUCUUUAAAGAAAGCAAAUGAUAGGGAGCUUGUAGAGAAGGAGGCCAGAGUUGUGCUGCCAGCAAUCAGGAGCAGCCUAGGCUGGUCUAUGGUAUCACCAAGUCCCUGGCUUGAGUGGUGGCUUCCACCACACCUCCUCCAUCCUCAGCCACUCAUUCCCAUAAAGGCGCUAGGUUUCAGUUCCUCCUUCACUUUGCCAGUACAACUACUUGUGGUAUGAUGCAGGCAUCAUCCCGAGAAGCUGCUUCCCAAACCCUCUUGCACCAUCUUUCCCAUCAGGCCAGAGCUGUGUCGACCUGCAAGGCUGUAGGAACGGGAGAGAGCAAAGUGACAACUGCCUGAGCACUUCCAGCUUCCCUAGCCUCAACAAAAACAGCAAAGCCUUCAGUAGGGCUGUUGGUGACUCCCUAACUCUUUAACUGGGAUGACUGAGUGCAGAUGUGAACUGCUCACCUAUAGGUGAAUGCCCCAUUCCACAGCCCCAUAGCAGCUGUGUUGCUGAUGCUCCAUAGUGCCCUUUUCAGCAUGCUUGGACUAAUUGGCUUAUAAUAUCGGCCAGGAGUGUGCAGCCUCUUUCUCAAUCUAGGAUGGCUUAACCAGGUUGCCAGACUCUGGUGUAGCUUGUGUACACAGCAAAGCAUCUCUGCGUGUUUGCAAAGCCAACGCUGGCUGCAAUAGAAACGAGGCAGAGCACAGUCCUGGCUGGAGCAGGGUUGUGCCAUCCUUCUGCAUCUCACCAGGAGGAAUGGGUGAGAGGAUGGGUGCAGGUCAGCCAGCUCUCAGCUGAUGCUGAACUGGUGCAAUAGAUCCCGUAUCACUUACUAUUUCCUGCAGCUGGGAAAUGAUUUCUGACAGAGGUCCUGCACAUCCUGGCAGACUCCAGCUGUUGUAACAGCUUUGUGUUGUUAGCAACCAGAUGUUUUGUUUUAUGCUCUGGGAACAGCCUACCAAACAGUCACCACGGGGCUGGAAGAGCACAAAGGUGGCUUAGAGGGGAGCAGCAGCAAAUGAAACCCACACAUUAAGGUAUCAUCGAGAAACUGUUGUUUUCCCAGUUUUUCUGGGGAGUAGGGACAUCUUGUGUGCCAGAUGUUAGGUACAACACCAGAGAAAACAGGUUAAAUGCCAAAGGCAAAUAUUACUGCACGGCCAAGUUUACUGUAAUUUGUAACUUUGAUUUUGUUGUUGUGUUUCCUUCCAGAAGGGAAAGUGCUUAUUAAUUAGAUCCACUUGGAGGGCUCAGAAAAUGGAUACUUUACUUAAAUAUUGUCCAUUUUUAAAUCAAACACUUAAAACAUUAAACAUAACCAAAACAAAACACAAAACCCAAACAAUUGCCCGUGGUUUGUCAAUAUACUGGUAAUAGAAAUAUCUUCAUCUUAUAUUUCCAUCAGCGUUUAGCUAGUUUCCUGCCUGGUUUUUUCAUUUCCUGAGCUUACUCCAAGGAAGGGAAAAACAUCCGUCUUGCAAAAUAGAUGCAAUUCAUUCAGCAGACUGCUUCUGCUUCUACAAUAUUAAAUUUUAAAAUAUUAUCACGCAGAGAAACAGCCUGACAGUAAAUGUUUUAAUGGAUGCAGUGUUUUCUUCCAAAGCAGCUCAGAGGCACUCUCACUCAAGUACUUGGUAAGGGAUGAUAAGCAGAGUGCCACGGAAAAGCAGAAAUUUGGUUUUUCAGGGAUUUUUCUUGCAUUCCAACGUCUUCUGCCUUGCAGCAAGGAAUGGCUGACAUCUAGUGGCAGCUGCACCCUGGCCCCAGCUGCUCGAAGCCUCUCCCAGACCUGCCCUCCACUCGCGUCAAAAAGCAGGCCAGGUACAUCAGCUACUAAUGGUGAAGGCUUUGUCCAGCAGCACGUUGUGCCAGCUCCAGGCUAUACAUUGUGGUUUGCACCAAGUGUGUCAGCUAAGAAAAUCAAAAGCUCACCCUCUGUUUAAUACAUUGAAAGAUGUUAGAUUAGGUAUUAGGAAGAAACUCUUUAUCAUGGUGGGUGAUGAGGCUCUGGAACAAGUUGCCCAGAGGAGCUGUAGAUGCCCCAUCCCUGGUAGUGUAA
ensembl:lncRNA